rnacentral:tRNA from 1 species
GCCGGAGUGGUGGAAUUGGUAGACGCAGCGGACUCAAAAUCCGCCGAGGGUAACCUCUUGCGAGUUCGAGUCUCGCCUCCGGCACCA